rnacentral:lncRNA from 1 species
AUGGGGAAGGGCCUGGUGGCAGCAGCGGCAGCAGGAAUCCGCUGGGCUCUGAGUCAGUUCCUGCAGCUCCUGGGGGGCCCGGGGCGGGGAGGGGGGCCCGCAUUCCGCCGCCCGCGGCACCGGCCUCCCACCACACAUGGCAACGCCACGGUGUUUGCAAGCAGCCGGGUUUCCAGGUGUUCCCGGGAUCACGGCUCGGCGGCCCGCGGCCAGCAGUGGACUGGGCAGAGGGCUCUGGGCAGCCGCGUGCACCCGGCCCCGCCCUGUGUGACCCCGCUCCUGACGCCCUCCUCCCGUGGCUGGGAGCAGGGCUGGCUGGUGGCCACCGAGGCCCGGCCCACGUGGUCUGCCCGUGGGCCCCGCGCCUGGUGUCCCCGCAGAGACAGCGUGGCCCACAUCUCAGGGACUUGGCCCCCCUCUGGCUCUGGCCCUCGCAGCCUGGAAGCUGCUUCUCCCUGGGGCCCUGCUCUUCUGCAGCCCACUCCCCAUGGGCUCCUCCCCACUACAGUGCAGAGGGCGUCCCCUCUGCUCACCCUGGCUGCCUCAGGCACCCACGAGCUCCCAGGACCUGGAAGUACGGUGGCCACAGCUCUGGCUCUUCUGGCUGGUCAGCAGACUAAUGUGGCCACUGUUGGGAUGCCCCGUACCAGCCCAGAGGGGGACGUGGGGGUCGCUGCCCAGGCCCCAGACCUCCUCCUGCUAACACUCCCAAAUACCUGUGGGGUCAGGGGAGGCCCAGGUCCGGAGGCCUGCCAGCCUUCCAAUCAGGAUCCGGGAUACAAGGAAACAGGGUCAUCGGCUUUGCCCGUGGGGACAGAGAGGCCCCCAAGAUGGACAAGCCGCCCUCCACCAGAUACCCUGCCCGGUGCCCAUGGCCAUUCUGGGGGAUGGAGGCUGGAGGGGGCGUUGUGGAGGCCCUGGGCCCUCCAUGUCCCCUCCACCUCUGGUGCUUCUGGGGCUGCCCAGAGUGGUGUGGGUGGUGGCCAGGCUGAGAGCUGCCCUCUCUGA